UUUUCCCAGCAGUAAAAAACUGUGGAAAUGCCAGCCUCAGCUCUACUUUCUAUCAACAGGAACACUGAAAGUAUCUGGUGUUGUAAUAUGGAUCCAGCAGAACACAAUGAAUUUUGCUAUGAGCUUGGAUGCAAUGUAAAUAAUUUAAACACAAAUCUUGAACUUUUCCUGCGAGCAAGACAUGAUGCAGCCUAGGUCAUCCACCUCAGAUUCUUACAUCAGAAGGCAAGUUGGAGAUGAGUUUACAUGUUUACAUGUUUACAUAUGGUGAUUCUCAUUUCAAGAAUUUAAGGAACUAUAAGACAUAUUGGGGAAUUCCUAUGUUCUCCAUUUUUUUUGUCUUCUCAAGAGGGCUCAAAUGGAAGAAGAAAUCACAGCAAUGUGACAUGAUGAAAUACACUGAUGACAGACUUUGAUUUCUUGCCAUACGCAGUAUGCACUGUGGUGCAGAGGACUCCGGUUGCUGUAAUUUUCAGAAGGAAGAAUAAUGAUCACAGAGAACUGACCUCGUACUUGCUAUGACUGAAAAGUUCUUAAAGAAAACUCGUGGCAGGCAGUGGAUAGCAAGGAGGAGCAGCCCAAAAUCGAUUCUCAGGUGGUGUUGUCUGUGAUCCAAGUGCUUGGAAGAAUCUGAAUACCCAUUUGUUGCCACCGGCCAAAUGCAAGUGCUGUGCGUUUCCACUUCUGGCUCCUCCAAAACGUUUGGAAUACAACAGGCAGUGAGAAACUGAGCGUGGUGGGCUCCAGAUCAGAAAAUCUCCCCCGAAGAUUCAGAAUCAGUUACAAACCAUGAAGACAUUGAUGUUUCCCAUUGUCUGACAAAGGACACUUGUCUCUUUCAGUGCCGAGGGUAAACAGUCUCACAAAAACCUGCCGAGCACCUGCUGGUAUGCUUUUUAUGCUGUGUGGCACUAAUCUUAUUUGUUUGUCACUGUUUAAAGCAUCUCAGAAGAGGAAUAGUUAUCUCACAGACUUUUCUGUCUCAUUUAUCACUCACGACUGUCUCUAAGGGCUUCACACUGACUAAUUAAUUUAACUUCACAAACUCUUGCAAGAUAAGGGAUGGCAUUUCAUUGAGGCACAGAGAGAUGAAGGUCAAAAGUUUCUCCAAACUUGGAAGUGCUGUACUGAGAUGCUCUCAGCAUGGUGUUUAGAACAAUACAGCUUUUUAUGUUCAAAUUACAAAUUGCUAUUUGUCUCAGUUGGAAUAAAUAGUGCUCAGCAUUUCUGUCAAUCACAGUCUAAGUUCAGGACAGACAUCCAUAAAAUAGGAGAUGAAUAGUUGUGAAAAUAUGCUGUCUAUAAUUGCCUCAGUUAGUGAGAGGACGGCAAAAAAUUUUUGACAGAUGCAAGGCUAUAUGGCACGCUAUAAUCUGAGACAGCAUUUAAUGUUCAGGAUGUUUUCUUCUGCAGCAGCUCUUCUGUGUCAUUUUCAGAGAUCACCUCCAAGCUCGAGAGUGGUCUGUCUUGAUGAGCAGGAAAGUAUGGAAAAGGAUGGUGUUAGGAAUGCCAAAGCCCAGCAUGAGUUGAAUCUGAUUGCAGUUCUGAAGGGCAACAAGAAACAUUUCCAGAUUCCUUAUCCAAUUCUAUUCUGUCUCUAUCAGCUCAGUCUUCAAGACGUAUUUCAGUUGUCAUUCCCUUUUCCACAGACCUUACCAGUCAGUAUAAUUCCUUGCUCCAUCCUCUUUCCCUGGACUGUCUUUCCCCUUCCUAGUAGCUGUAUCCCAGAUUAGCUUCCUUCACUUUGGUUCUGACUUCAUUCCCAUUGCCUCUUCCUGUGCCCAUGCCCCACUUGUUUUACUGAGCAAAACUAAAUGGUUUUACCAGGCUGAAGUGCUCCAUCUGAAACUUUUUGUAGAGAAAUAAGAGAAGCCUGAAGCAGAAAGCACAGAAAAUGCAGCUCACAUGGUAGAAGUUUUGUCGGUGCUUUAAGCAAUGGAAAAUAUGAUUUUAUGAAGUGUUAAGCAACCUUAGGGACAGACCCACUUACAUGCAAUAGCAUAUUUUUGAAAUGUCCAGGAUUCCCAAAUACUGUCCCAAACAGAAUCAUAGGUGAUGUCAACUAUAGCACAGAACAGCUUAUAUUUAAAAAAGGAUUUUUCUUCAGGAAAUGAAAAAAAAUACUUAAACAUUGUUUAUAAUUACACUUCCCUAGUCUUAAUGACUAAAGUAUUGAAAAACAAAAUUUGUAAACAAAUACUGCCCAAAAAUUAACAUAGAGUGACACUAAGCAGUAGAAUCCCAUUGCAUCAGUGCAUAGUUGCCGGAGGCCAAUAUUUGGAGCUCAUAUCUGCAACUGUAGAGUUGCAUUAAUAGUCUACCCUAAAAGAAUAUAAACUGCUCUAUUAAAAUUUUUCCAGAAAAAUAGUGAAACAACAAUAUUUUUUUAAUUAGUUGACAGUAAAUUUAUAGUUUAAAUUAUUUCCAUGGUACAGUUCACAUAUAUAAACAUUUACAAGUAAAGAAAACCUGCAAAAUACCAUUUUGGGGAUAUUGCUCAGUAGCUGACAAGGAUGAAGUCAACUGAAAUGUAUUUUUAACCAGAAGAUAAAUCCUGUUUGAAAGCUUUGUAAAGGAACCUUAUAAAUUCUGACAAAAAGUAUGAAUUUAUUUUAUUCUCUAGACCUCGGUUUGGCUUCUGACCAUUGGAAAACUGGUGUAAAUCUGGAAUACCUCCUUUGAAACCAGCUAAGACUUUCAGAAUUUAUACUUCCAUAUCCAAGCAAAGAAUUUAUCCCAUGGGCUCAAAGCCAGCUCUCUUGAGCAGGAGACUAAGUCUGGCUGCACAGGGGAGAAGCUGUGGCAGCUGGCCAGCCUCUCUCCCAGGAAGAUGUGUUAGGCUCAUCACCAGAUCCCUUUGGGCAUUCAGCAUCAUGGGAAAUAGCCAGACUCCAUUCUGAGUGGCAACUGUUUUAGAGAGCCAUCUGAAAUCACUCUUAGGAGGCUCAGAGGAGAUGGCCACCGCCUAAAAGUCCCUGACUAGUUUCUUGGCCUCUUGUUUCAGGGCUGCUAUGACUUGCUCUCAGUCCUCAUUCUUUUUGUAACAUAAUUUAUGACCACAAGCAGUGCAGCAGGAAAGGGAAAAGAUGACAAAUACGUUAAACAUAACCAUAUACUUGAAAAUCUAAAUAUCAGACUAUUCCCUAGCUAUGUGAUUACAGGCAGCUUCAAAGCAAAAAGGCACAUUUUCAGUAAAUACAUUUUAUUUUGUAUACACUACCUUUGCUUGAAGGACAGUCUGCAGGAGCACAGCAAACUGAUUUUAAACAGACAUCAACUAGAGUUUGUGGCUCGUCACUUGGGAGUUCCCAUGAGACAUACAGAGUCAUCAUAUGGGAAAGAAUAAAAAUACAAACAUAAAUGUUGCAUGUCUUCAGAAUUCUCUUCUUUCCCUCCCAAGACCCUGAGGGAUGGUCCACCCAGUCGUGCUCCAAUGUAAUGCAGAAGGGCCAUCCUCUGACACAUUCCCACUUCCUAGCUCUUAAACUCAAGUGAAAUUACUGUUGGAAAAAACAUCAGGAGGAAAUACUUCUGCUUCAUAUUGUCAGUACCAUAAAGGGAAGUGGAAUGGUUGCGCUGGAUGGCUGAUUUAAUAGAUAUAGCUGUUAAUACCCUUAAGACCUUCCUGCCCCACUGCUGCUGUCUCCUCUUCUGGGAACUGUUCUAAGGUGUUGUAAAUGUCUCCUCCUUCGGCCUGUGCUCUGAAGUGGAUCCCAAGCUCCUGUCUCUGGUCUUCCUCCACACUGCUGGAGAACAGUUUCAAAACCAGCUCAUGUUCCUUUACUAGCAUUAUGCAGAUUUAAAUGAGGUGCCCACUCCUCCUUUUGAGCACCACAUUGGCGUAAAGUGGAUUGUCUGCAUGCCAGCUCCCAGCUGGGAAUUCAAACUGAACUUAUCCGCCUCCUUCUUAUGGCCUUAUUCCUCUCCCUUUGGAAGGGAAGGGCAUUCUGUGUGCUGGACACAGCACAUCUGUUUUUAAAACCUCAAGUUUAUUGGCCAGUCAAAUCCAAAAGUUUCUGCAAUCAGAAGCUUUCCAUGCAAUGACUUUUAGAGGAGACCCUAGUAAUUAGAAUCUGCAGGUCCGCUUCAUACAGGAUUUCUGAGAGGACAAGAAAUUAGGCAACUUGAAGGUAAAGAGAAAUAAAUUAUUUUUCUAGUCAUCAGAUGCCAUUAAUGCCUUUUUGUAAAUACCUGCAUUAGAGAGAACCAAUGCAAAGUAAGAGUUUCCCAGAACUCUACAUCUUCUAGCUCUUGGGUAGCACUUAAACAGGAAAAGACCGAGGUGUGACCAGAGCCAGCCAAAGCCUUCUUGAAGAUGUGGGAAGGUGGCCACCUCAGUGAUGAGGAUAAAGGUAACACGCAGCUGUCUGGCGAGGAACGGGAGAAAAGGGGAAGGCCUGGCACCCAGCGCCUGGGAAGCCGUGCUGCUCAGCAGUGCAGGUGUGCCACAGCCGAGGACUGGAGGAUGUCAGCAGCAUCCUUAAAAUGCUCAGCCUUAAAAUGUUCAGAUUUGUGGUCAUAGCAGGCCUGUGUGUUUUUCAGAGCUCUAGCAGAGGAAAUGGAAGCAGGAAAGCUAUGGCUGUUUUACAGUCCCCAGCAGUUCGCUGCCAUGGGUAACAGCCACCCACACUGGCUGUUCCACAUGAGAACCCCCUGAAAACCAAUCACUGACAAAAGCCUCCCUGAAUCCAGGCAACUUUAUCAUUGUUUUAUUAUCUAAAACUUUUUUCACCCUAAAUAAAAAAGCCCAAGCUUUUUUACUGAAAAAAGCCUGAAACAUCUGACUUGUGUGUUCUUUUUAAUAAUUUUCCCUUUCUGUAGCUUGUUAGCCUGUUUCUGGGCAACAGCAGCUACUUGUUAGCUUUUUUGUUCCCCUUCUUCCUUCUUCUGUCACUGUUCUUUGUACAUAUUAGCGAUAAAGACACCACACUCAAAGGAUUUGCUGCAGUGGACGUAGUCGAUUCUUUGAGGGUAAAAAGAAACAUUUUAUACUUCCUGUUUACAAAAUAAGAGAUUUCUUAUUUCGCUUUUUCAAACUUCUGGCUUACAUAAAUAAGAAAAAAAAAGCAAAAAAGCAAAGCAAAACAAAACAAAAAAGCGAGGAAGGAUACAAUAAAGAGUAUCUGGUAGCAAAAAGAUGAGCAGAGACCAAUUUUCAUUUGCUUUCUAGAAUAAAUCCUCAGACAGCACAAAGGACAAUCAGAAUUGGAGCCUGAGGAUUCCUCUGUGAGUAAUUUAAACUCAAGUUAAAUUCUCUGCAGUCUGUGGUAAACCAUUUUACCUAUGGCAAGUAGUUCCUAACCUACUACCUACAAAAGUACAUCUGCAUUUAUUAUCUCCAGCUAAUAUCAGAAAGAAUGUGGCUAUAUUUGAUGCUUGAAAGCCAAAGGAGUAACUUAAAUCUGAGAAACUGUUUUCUUGGAUUGUGAAUGGAAAAAAAAAAUCAAACUUUGUUUCUCAUGUUACAAAAGCUUUCUGAGUAAUUUCACGAGUUUUCAUUUAACAGAUGUAGGCUCACAGUAAUCAAAUCCGCAGCACAGGUAUUGCAGUCUUUAAGCAUGAAAGAACAAAUGUAAGAACAUACCCUGCCAGAGAUGGAUUUUAUUAGCUGCUUUUCUGACUUGAUUGCUAUAGACUGAGAAAACUCCUGCACCCACCUGCACACCCCCUGCAAAAAAAGAACUCUUCCCACCACUACCACUCAGCAGCUAGCUGGGGCCAUGGUUUUAAAUCAGAUUCAGCCAAUCCUAGCCAACCUGGAAUGGGAAGACAAUGAAGUACGUAAGCAUUAAUUUAAUCAAAAUUGCAUUAUGCUCACACUUACUUUACUGAGAAUUCAGAGAUUCUGAGAAUUAAUAGAUACUCAAAACUUUUUGCUACUAUGCUGUUUUGCCUUUUUGGCAUAAUAAUAGGUGUUUAUUUCUUAUCCCCUGUAGAUUUUUUAAGUACUAAGGAGUGCUGUAGUGCAACUGCAGUGGAAGAAUGCAAAGCAAGAGCUCAAGGAAAGUGAGCAUGGUCAAUGCAUGUUUUAUUCAUAUGAAUCACGGUGUUUUUGUAUGGAAUUAUUAAACUACAGGUUGGUGUUAAUCUACAGUUUGUUAAAUAAAUGUAGUUGUUUAUUGGAAUGCCUAAGGAAUGGGGUCAAUACUCCCUCCACCCUUGCAUAGCAUGGCUCUUUGAGUGGGAACCCAGAGCACUCACAGCGCUGACACAUCUCCUCUAUCCCUCACCCCCAUAUCAGCACAUGGUUCAUUCUCUGCUUUUACUCCAAGGCGAAGCAGAUCAGAGAGUUGUCAAACCCCUUAGGAAGCAUAUGCUGUAACCUUAUUAAUAGCAUGUGAGGAAGUGUGGCUCUUAUGAGCAGAGUCCCCUCAGCUGCUGUUGUAGAAGUGGGGUCUUGGCAUUUUAGCUUAAAUCUAAGCAUUUUCAGCUUAAGGAAAGGCUGAGAGACCUUCUCCUUAGAAAAAUUACUUACAAAUAUUUCUUCAUAGAAUUCUUAUAGAAGUUAUGGCUGUUAUCAGUGGCACGAUAACAGGGAAAGAACAACAGUAUUUUUUCCUUCCAGUACCUAAAGGGGCCUACAGGAAAGCUGAGAAGGGACUUUUUAUAAGGGCAGGUAGCAGCUGGAUAGGGGUAAAUGCUUUUAAACUGGAUGAGGGGUAGAUUUAGACUAGCUAUUAGGAAGAAAUUCUUGACUGUGAGGGUGGUGACACUGGAAUAGGUUGCCCAGUGAGGUUGUGAAUGCCCCUCCAUGGAAGCAUUCAAGGCCAGGCUGGGUGGGCUUUGAGCAAGCUGGUCUAGAGGGAGGAGUCCCUGCCUUUAGCAGGGGGGUUGGAACUAGAUGAUCUUAAAGGUUCCCUCUAACCCAAACCAUUCUGUGAUUCUGUGAUUUUCCAACAGACAAAUUUGUUGAUGAGUGUUAGCAUUGCAGCUGCCAGGUAAUAAUCAGUUGAUAACCCAAUGAAUACAAAAUUGCUAAAUAGGAAAUACUAUGUAGAAAUCACAGGUGUUCUUGUAUUCAAUCUUACUUUCAUGUUUUUAGAAUUGCAGUACCUAUUCUGAAGCACAGUCCUUGAUUCUGAGUGGAUUCCGAGUUUUACACCUAGAUUUAGCUCUUCUGAAAAGUCAAAGAAUAUUUUUUUUUGAUACACUCAAAAUGUGCAGUUCACAUAGAAAAUCACAAUUUGAAGAGUGACUGUUAUCAAGAUGUGCUCAAAACCAGUUGGCAUUCCUAAGAACGAUGGAGCAAAGUGGAAAUGUGCUGCAAAGGGAGAGGACGCAAGCAGAAGUACUUCAAACAGUAAGUAAGACCCAGACUGGAGUACAGUGCUGCAAGAAUUAAGUGUGCUUACUGUUUCUUUGAAGUCUAAAUUAUUGUUACUAUUGUGUUACUUAAAGCCUCUUAAUAUUUAAAAUGUACUUGUUCUAAAGAAGCAUUUCAGAGCUUCCUGUGUUGCUGGCUGCUUCAUGUAAACAUUCUAGAUCUGCUGUAUGGACAAUUUCGGUUUGCAAUUAUAAUUGUAUGACAGAAACACAUAUCAUUGGAUUAUGAAUUAAAAUUGCAUUAAAAAUUAAAAAGUUGAAAGGGCGGUAUCUACUGCCUAAGAAACCACAAAACAGCAAAGCAGUGAUUAAAACAACGAUUGAUCAUGUGUAACUCUGAAAAUCUAAUUCCGAAAGAUUUUUUUUAAAAAGCAAUGAGCACACAGUCAGUGGAAUUCGUUCUCUGGCAGCUCAGAGUGAUUUCUAGUGAUCAGUCACAACGAUGGAAGCCUACCCAGAGAACCUACUGCCAGUAUUCUUCCCAAACUUGUAUACAGUAGUUUACCUACUAACUGCAGAGAACACUGUGAAGUUGUGUCAAGCUAUACCAAUGCUCUGUUUUCUACUACCCUUUUUCAUAUUCUAUUUUAGUUUAAUUUCAAGAUACUCAGUAAACAAAUGUCUCUAUGUCAUCUCUCACAUUUCACUGAAGCUAUAAAUUAACUCUCAAGCUAAAUGUAAGGAUGUAACAGGGAAUUUUCCAAAGUUUGUUUGUUUUAACAAUGAAACUACUUAAGCAAAGAAUUCCUUGAUUAAAGAUUCUUUGCAUUUUUGUUUAGGCAAGUGUUGGGGAUUCCUAUUUGGGGGAUCCUUUAAGAAUACUCUGCUGGUUAAGCAUCUUUCUGCACAGAAAUGCAGAGAAGCACCUUCUGAAUAUUAGCUGUGGACUGCAUUACUUUCACUAGUUCUGAUUAAUGUGCUAUUGCAUCCUGGUAAGAUUUAUGAACUGUGGAGGAUAUGUGAAUGCUGUCUCUUCAUGUCAAAGAAAGAGUGUGAAGAAUUUAAAUAAACAUAGCAUUUAGAUGGUCUGCUUUUGUCAGAUCCUGACUAUGUCUGACUUUCUAAAGCCUGCUUCUGUUUGCAUGGUUUAAAGUGUCUUUGGAGCUUGCAAUUUCUAGACACUAGUUAUAUUAGCCAAGAGCAACCAAGCUAUUGUUUCAACAAGCAAUGAAAUCUUAUGCUAAACGAGCUGGCUAUAUUUGCAUCAGCUGUCAGAUAAUGGCAUAAGGUUUUAUGGAUGUUUUUAAAAGACAUACUUCUUGUAGUCUCAAGAGAGUUGCUGUAAAACAUGAGCAAAGCAGGAAAAAAAAGGUUGAGAAAAAGGUUGAAAAGAAAUAAGGAAAAUAGCUGUAUCCAUGUCUCUUAUUUUGUAAUGAAAAUGUUAAUGGUUAUAAAUAAAUUAUGGAUUUGAUAUUACUUCCAAGAUUGCUUUCAAUUUGGAAAUUCUGGAUUAAACUUUUUUACUUUUUGCUGGUGGUGGUGGAGUUUGCCCUUUAAGUUAUCUACACUGCUGUCUCCAGUAAUUACAGUCAAAACUACUCUUAACCACAGAAAACAAAGUUCAUUCAAUGGCAAGGAAUGAUUCUAAUAAUUGUUUUUAAUGGUUUUAGGUGACAGAAUGUUAUAUUUCUACUGGUUUUGAAUUAAUACAAAUAAUAAUGUGCUAUUAAUUAGAAGCAACCCAUAAGAAUCCCUAAUUAAAUAUGGAAUUUGAUUUUUAUUACUACUAUUAAAAAACGCCUGCUUUCCGUUGCUUUCUUGUUCAAUCUGGUACCAUAAUCUUUUCAUUUAGACCUACCUUAUGUUAUGAAGGCUUUACGCUAAAUCAACUUACGUGCGAUUAUGAAAUGAAAGAUGCUUCCUUUUACAAAUCAUUGUAAAAAAUAGAGCAAUAAGAAAAAAAAGUGCUUAUUUCUGUAAUAAUUAUAAAUUAUUCUAUGAGUUGAAAGCCACUGGAUAUUGAGGAUAUUUUGAUAGUCUUAAAAAAAAUUAUUCAGCUUUUUGUUAAUUUUGUGGAAAUUCUUAUGUCAAUGGGAUUACAGUUGUCCAACUAGCUUUGCACAGUUUUAAAGGUCAAAUUGGACGAGGCUUUGAGUAUCAUGGUAUAGUGGGAGAUUUCCUUUCUCAUGGUAGGGUGGUUAGAAUAAUACAAUCUUCUAAGGUCCCUUCCAACCCAAACCAUUAAAUGAUUCUACGAUUCUAUGAGUUCUAGGCAUGUUUGACAGAAUGGAAUAAUUCCUGUUGUCUUUUCUGUGAUGUGUUUAACAAAAACUUAUAUGUCACUUGUAUCAUAUGUAUGAGUGGUACCUGCUGGUUCAGAAGUAGAUAAAAACUGUUAUUCUUGAUAAAAAUUGAUAAACCUGAGUUAUUGCACUCAACACAAACUUGCUAUAUGUUAAUUUUCUCUAAUCAACGGUGCAUUAAUAAUCCUCAAAAGCCUUCAUUGAAAGCGUGGCUCUUUUUUUAUUAUUUAAAAAAAAAAAAGAUAGUGUUGAGAGGAAGGAUGCAGAAUUCUCAGUAGCUUCAGCAGAGCUGGGUAUUUAGGCAGAGUGAGCAGUCCAGUCUCUGGUCGUGCUCACACUGUUGGGACCAGCUCUGGAGUAGUGGAAUCCAAAAUAGUUCUGCCAAAAAGAGGGCGGUUUCCUCUCCUGUCUGUCUCGUAUUAUGUUCUCAUUUUGUCUGUGAAUCACCAGAGAUCCUUUGUGAUGCAUUUGUGGUGUAUUUAUAUAUCCAGCACUCACCUGUUAAACAAAAGGUGAUAUACAAGGUGCUGCUCAAUCUGAUAGCUGUUACUACACCAUAACCAGAAGAGAUUACUUGCAAGUUUAUUUCAGAUAUACCCAGGCCUGCCAUGAAAUACUAUAUUUGCAUGUUUCAUGCAUGGACUGCAGAAUAGUGGCAAACAGUAGCAUGAGCUAAAAGAAUGCUGGCUUUUGCGUAAGUCUUUUGUUCAAGUAUUGGAUUUCCACCUGGCUGCUCUUAACAGGUUUGUGAUCAAGUGAAUCCACAUACAGAAUUGGUUAGGCUUCUAUUCAAAAUGUACAGAGUAUCCAGAAAGACUCAUUUAAACCGUGAUGGCAAACCUGCACAAGGAGAAAUUUGCCUGUCAGGCUGGGGCCAGUGACUGUGCUCAGUACUAAAACCUGCAGGUUGUUUUUCUUUGAGGAAACACUUGCCAGACUAAUGAGAAAAAAAAUCCGCAUUUCUCCUUCAAAUGCUUCUUCUGUGAUGCCAUGAGAUGCAUCUAUGGAAGCAAACAAUGAAAUGAAUCAAAACUAUGUCAUUCUGUAUUUUAGAAACUAUCUCACAGAAGUAAGGACAGAUCUUGCCCUUAAUAAGUAAAUCAGUUUGAAGAACAAGACUCUGUGGUGGACUUCCCAAACCCCACAGCCAAAAUAACAACUGCUGAAAAUACUACUUCAGAGAGCUCUCACAGAAUGUCUAUAAAGACGCUUACAUAACUCUAAUGAUUCAAAAGACAGCCAGAACAUGAAUGUUAUAUGACAGGGAUCGUAACUCUGACCUUGUGUGGUGACGUAUGAGACAAAGUUUUGAACAGUUUCUGAAUUUUGAACUCUGAAAAAUCCUCACUUAUAUUAAAUAUUGGAACCAUUGUGGCAGAGUGAGGGAAAAAAGGUAUAUUGUUCUUUCGUGAAUAUGUAAUUGUAAUAAUCUAUCAGAGUUAACAGAUAUUCCAAAAAUUAUAAUGAAAGACAACUGCAGCAUACUCGCUGUAGCGCCUUGCAUUCAGGAUUUCCUAAGUCACUGACAGAGGUUCUCCCAUUCAGGUUUAGAUGGUAAAACUUAAUCGAAAGUGCCUCUCUCCUCUGAGGUGAUGCGAUCUUCCAACCAAAACUACACAAUAGUGUUUUAUUUGUCAAAUGUUCAAAAGGAAGGGAAAAAGCACUUACAAUAUUAAGGCAAAUACUAGGUGGUUUUUUAUUUUUUCUCUAGGAGAAUUCUAAGUGGUGCCAGACUUCAACACAGCUGUUAAUCAGCUGUGCAUUUAAUCCUGGGCAUUGCAUGAAAAGCCUGCGAGUGAGCAGAUUUGGAAGAAAAGUCUUUUAUGGAAACAUAUUACCAUGUGUUAAUAUGAUGUUAAUAUGGUAGAAUCUUAGAAUCAUAGAAUGGCUUGGGUUGGAAGGGACCCCAAGAAUCAUCAAGUUCCAACCCCUGCCACAGGUAGCACCGCCAACCUCCAGAUCUGGCACUACACCAGGCUGCCCAGGGCCCCAUCCAGCCUGGCCUUCCUCGAACAUCUCCAGGGACAGAGCGUCCCCAGUCUCUCUGAGCAGCCUGUUCCAGCACCUCACCUUCUGUGUAAAGACUUUCCCCAAUAUCCAAUCUAAACCUUCCCUCCUUGAGCUUAAAACCAUUCCCCCUUGGCCUACCACUGUCUAUCUGUGUAAAAAGUUGAUUCCUCUCUUGUUUACAAUCCCCUUUUAAAUACUGUAAGGCUGCAAUGAGGUCUUCUCGCUUCCUUCUCUUCUCCAGGCUGGGCUUGUUCUGCCCAGCCCAACUCCCUCAGCCUGUCUUUGUAGCAGAGCUGCUCCAGCCCUCUGCUCAUCUCAGUGCCCUCCUCUGGACCCUCUCCAACAGCUCCACUUCCUGUGCUGAGGGCCCCAGACCUGGAUGCAGUGCUGCAGAUGGGGCCUCAUGAGGGCAGAGUAGAGGGGGACGAUCGCAUCCCUGUCCCUGCUGGCCACCCCUCUCCUGAUGGAGCCCAGGAUACCAUUUCCUUUCUGAACUGUAAGUGCACGCUGCUUGCUCAUGUUAAGUUUUUCAUCCACCAGGACCCCCAGGUCCUUCUCUGCAGGGCUGCUCUCAAGGGGUUCUUCUCCCAGUCUGUGUAUAUACCUGGGUUUACUCCAACCCAAAUGCAAAACCUUGCACUUUGUUAUGUAGAACCUCAUUAGGUUCACAUGGGCCCACUUUCUGAGUUUGUCGAGGUUCUUCUGGAUGGCAAUAUAAUAUAGUUUCUGAUAAUAUCUUAGCAUUUUUUAGUUUGGUUUGUUUUUUAAUCAAAAUUAUAUUUUAAAUCCACUCCACUUGAAUAUAUUUCUUUAUAUCCUCAUGCAUACAAAGGGUAUGUUACUUCAACCUCAGGAAGACCUAAUGUUUCCGCCAGGACUGGAGAGAAGGCGCUAUUUUCAGUCUUUGUAUUUGGGUGAAUUUUAUCAUGAAAUAACGCUUAAAAUUUUAUAGUGUAGCUGGGCUGUAUAUUCAGUGUUCAGACUUCAAGCUAUAGUAAGUUCAUGACAAUAGCUUAUCUUCUGUAUUAACGUUUACAAAGAGAGACAGUCUCUCAACAUACCUGUAUCCCAGUAGCAAUGACCUAUCUGAUGCCCUCUGCCAUUCGUAGGAAUGGGCAUUAGAAAUUACCUUCUGUCACGAAGUAGACACAGAUGAAAUCAAUUAAUUACUGCUUGCCUGCUUUGACAGUGAUCAUCAACACAAUGUAGCUAUGCAAUACUAAUCUCUAGAAACCAUCUGGAACCAUUAAGACAAACUAUAUCUCCUUGCCCAAGGGAGGCAAAAGUUUUGGAAGCCUUUGAGACCCACAGCCUUUCUCAGAGUUGCAUACUGUCACCAACUGACCAAAAAAAGGCAAAAGCCAGAAUGAGGUCUCCAGCAGAACUUUCACCACUUAUCCACAUUAUGACGAGCAUAAUGGGAUUUUGUGGCAGAGUGUCACUAUUUAACUUAGUUGUAGAUGAAAACAAACAAUGAUUUUGAAAGUAAUAACAACUCCAGGAUCAGCAGAAGAAACAAAGAGCUGGCUAAAACCUAGGUGGACAUAAGAGAACCAAAAAUGUGUUGAAGAUCACCAGAUGGUGAUCUGUGAAAGCUGUUUGUUUUAACUCCAGCUUUGACUUGUAGAUGUGAUUUAGUAUUACAUUUUCUGAUUAAAUCUCAGAGUUUCUUAGGAUCCAAAUUGGAUUUCAUAUGGCAGAGACUGUAGCCAUGAUCCAUCCCAUCUAAAUCCUGGCAUCCAGGUCUCUCCAAAUGAGAAGAAUGCAUGUCUAUUCAAGUCUACUCAGAAUUCCAGUCUUACUGCACUGCUUUGAAGGGUUUUAGCUUAUAGUAGCCCAGUUUUAAUUUUUUCCUUCCUCUCAUGUGUUCCCAUCACGAUAACUUACCUUCUCUAAAUUCACACCUCUGUGUCAGGAGAGCUUGAAAUAAAGUGGCAACAUGAUAAUUUAGUACCUGUCUCAACAUCCUAGUUUUGAUUUCUCCAGGUCCUGUGUCACUGGUAUGGAAAUGCCUAGGCUUAGGUCAGUAACUGCACAGUGUACUCUGUAUCAGUGUAUUGAUACAAAAACUAAUGAAGUUUUUCUUCACAGUACGGCUUUUGUAUCUCUUUCAAACACUGUAACAUGAGAUCUAGCAGUAUUUUAUACUAUAGUAUUUUUAAGGCAUUUUUUCAUGUACAGAGCUUAGAAUUGGAGUAGUUUAUGGGAUCUACCUCAAGAGCAUGCAAAAGUGCAUUAGGAUAACUUCUCAGCAAAGAGUUUAAACCACCAGCUCCUUCUGGAUUUACAUAUCUGCACCAUGCAUGUUAGGCCCUGAUGCACGGACAACAAACUUGAUGGCCCUUCUUAAAACUGGGAAAAUCUAAAGGAAGAUUUGUUUUUACCUGAAAAACUUAAUACAAGAGACCUGGAAACUGUAUUGUCAUCUUAACAAUGACCUUCUGCUUAAAAAGAGUAUAUUUUGUUACGGAUCCUCAUUUCCUUGGCUGCUUCUACAAUAUCACUCUCUUGAAACAGGAAUGUUCUGUCUCUCAGAAGAGAUGUACGACCUGUUUUAUUCUGCAAAAUCGGAUGAGUCUUUCUUAGCUAAAGAUUUCUUGUUUAAGUCUACAUUGAAUUGAGUGCUUUGAACACACAGAUAACAUGAAGUAUGUGUUCAAGUCAGGCCAUUGGGACCAAAGCAACCAUGGAAAACUUAAAACUCCAGUUACUGUGUUUGAAAUACGCAGCCCUGAAAAAGGGGAAAGACCUCUCCAUAUUUGUCUUUGAGAAUUAUAAACAGCAACAGAGAUGUAACAAAAGCAAGUGAACCCUUAUGAACCCUAUUUAGCUGAUUCAUCUUUUCCUGGAAGCAGAUACAUGUGGCUUUAUGAGAUACAGUUGUGGCUGCUUGGUAGUGGGCUAAUGCUCGGUGUGCACUGUUAUUGCUGGUUUUUAUUAUUUGAAUAAAUAUGUGAAAAAGAGUAAGACCAUUUAGAAAGGGAUUGGAAAAUACAGAAAAUCAUACAGGGGAAGGUAAAAUCUCCCACCUCAGGCUUAGUUUUCAUUUAUUUCAUUGUAAGUGUGGUGUCAUUUAAAAAAAAAUAAAAAGCUUGAUAUUUUAUCUAAAAGUAUUUAAAAGAGAAGGAGUGUGUGUAAACCAGGAACUUGCCAUAACAGAUGAUGCGCAUGGAGUGCCUAGCUUCUGGCUGGAACUGGUCCACAGCUGGCAAGUUCACACUGCCAGUAGUGAAGAUCUUCAGCUCCUUCUAAACCUGCCUUUAGGAAUUACUCAUGCACACACCUUAUGAUGAUUAGUAUAAGCAAAAGCUCUUACAGUACCUACUUGUCUUUCUCACACUGAAUCUGAGCUCAAUGGGACUUCUGCCCGAAUGAGGUAAGGCUGCUCUGACAGAUUAAGAACAGGUACUGGCUGCCACCUCUUUUUAAAUUGCAAGUUCAUCUCUUUGAUGUUUGUAAGUUCAAAGAAAAUGUUGCAGGGGAUGGAAGUCAGGAAAGAGAGAAUAUCAUUCAUUUCAGGACCCAGUUGGUUUUCAGACUGCUUCUUGCUCUUACCCUACUACCCACACGAUUCUUCUCUCUUCUUUAUGUAUUAUCAUUAAACCUGUAUUGGUUUAAAGGUCUUAGAUGGAAAAUGUAUUUUUAUCUCUUAAACUGGACUCCUAAUUUGGAGCUGAUGUUAUCCUGUGUUUCCAUGUAAUUGAUUAAUGAGUAUCAAAAUUCCUUUUCUUUUAAUCAAGAUAUGUAGAGGCAAUUACUGUCUUUAAAGACAUAACAGUAGCGAACUGUUUGCUCAUAAUUACAGUUAUGUUUGUCAGAAUCUGAAAGGAAAUGGUAUACAGCCUCUGCUGUCUUUGCUGUUAAAGCUAUUACUUCAAGUUUGUAAUAUUCUAUAUAUUUCUUUGAGAACUCUCUAAAUUUCUUUGAAAAAAAAAGAUAUUUAAGGCUGAUAAGACUUCAAACUGCUUGCAAAUCUAAUGCAGCAUUGGAUUAUCUCUUUUGUCUCUGUUUUGCUGAUUGGAAAGAAUUGUUUUUCCCCUAAUGUCAUGGAGAGAUCUGCAAAACUGCCUGAACAAAUGAACCAGUAACCUCAACCUGUAUGUUUACAAGAAAACAAUAUGAAAAGAAAAAUUACUGUGUGUGCAUGCAGAAACAUAGGAAAAGAAAGAUUUUUUUUGCCGGUUACUGUUUGUGACAUUUUUGAAUCACUAAUACUCAGAGACCAAAAGGAAAAAUGUUGCCUCACAAAUAAAAGCAAUUUAAAUGCCAAAUCCUAAUUGGAAAAAAACUGUGCCCUCCAGAAUGGAUGGCUGACCUUUGUAGAAGCCAUGGUGCAGUAAAUGGACAGGAGGAGAGCAGGAACUGGAGCAGGUUGGAGGAAACAUGCUUAACACAGUCGCGAUGUCUCUGUGAUUUCCUGUGAUUGCCAGCCCCAGAGGGUAGUGGAAGCCAUGUAAUUCCCUUGUGCUGGUAGAGUAAUGUAGCAGCACGAGCUGCUCCAAAAUGGGAGAUGAAUGAUGUGCUGUCUCCAAGUGUGAAUGUUUCAGAUUCUCAAACAGUAAUAGUAAAUUAAAUGGAGCAUCUGUCUAAGCUGCAGCAUAGCACACAGAAAACAGCUGUGUGGCUGUGUGCCCUGCCAUACUAUUUGAUAUCAAGCCAGCUUACUAGCGUAGCCAUAGGUUUACGGGACUUGUCAGCACUUACAAAUCUUGACUUCCUUAGUUGCUGGUUUUGUCUGCAUUGGCCUGCCUCACUUUCUCUACCAUUUCAAGCCACACUGGAGUUCUGUUUCUCAGUUACUGGAUCAUAAAAUGUGUUUUAGAAACUUGAACCUCAGUUCUGUUGAUCUCUUUGUGAGAAGUUAUGCUACACGUUGCAGGCAGUUCUGCAUUGCAGGUAGGGUGAUGCUUGCUGCUCCAAGGUUUGUCCAGGGAGAGUACAAAGAGCACAAUAUAACUGGGACAUAACUUCAAGUCUUAAAGUCCUAGAGAGCAAGGACUGAAGCCUUUAUUCAAUGCCCAGGAGCAUCAUAAAAGAAAAGUUUAUUCCUAAGCCAAAAAAUGGGCUGCAAGUGUAAGGGCUAAAGCACAGAGAGCAUCUUCUGUGUGCACCAAGAAGUCCCAUGGCUUGAGUCAGAACCUACCACAGGGAAAGUCACAGGCAGAGCUCUAUGCCUAUAGCUUUAUGUGUUGAUAAGAAGAGAAAAUGCCAGGGCCUAUCACUUCUGUUAAUUUAGGAGGGAAGUAAAACAAGUACUAUUUCUAGAAUCACUACAGUAAUGUAGGAAAUCUGUCUUUUAAAUUGACUGAAGUGUAGCCACUCAAUAUUGUGCAAGAGCAAUUAUGUGCUUUCAUAAAUCUGUUACAAAUUGAUUACUCCUAAUUUAAUUUUUUAAUUAAAUUAUUUAUGCUUUUUAUUCAGUAUUGAAAGAAGAAAGCUGAAAAAUAGGUUAUAUUAAAGAAUUCAAUUAAAAUCAGCCGAGUGUGUAGUUCGGAAGAUUCUUGCUCUUGUUCUGGAGAAGUGGGAAUUUAGUUGUUCUAAUUGACAAAUCCAAGAACUUUCCUAAAUCUACAUAAAGCUGUUUUCAUUUAUUGUCUAUGAAAAUAAACUUGCAUUGAUUCUUUGGUCUGAAAGCAGCAGAUUAAUAUUUCAUAUUAUAUAGUUUAUAUAUACCAUAAUUUGGACUGAGAGACUUUAAUCAGUCUGCUUCAAAUCAUGUUCUAGCAUGUCUCAAAUUGAAUUGAAUUUGCUUUUCUUUUCAAUGCUAAUAUGAAAAAAUAGUUACAUUUGCUGAACAAUACAUCUGAGUCCACCAGUCAUGGGCACACUUUAUAAAAGGCAGAAAAUCUGUGGGUGGGCACUUUAUUUUCUUUUUAAUCUGCUAUGCUCAUUUCCUCCCAAAGGCAUGCACACAGUAAGAGCAGUGCCCAAAGGGCAGAUGAAACUUCACUUUUACCAGCAGAUCUGGCUUGCAAUCCCACCUGAGUUAUCUUCAGCUGAACUUUGAAAAGCUGCAGUAGUCAGUUUACCAACUCAUGCUGUUGGGUGAUAACAUAAUGCUGUACCUAUUAGAUUCAGAAGGAGAUACUAGCAGACCUUGUAGUGCUAAAUAGCAGUGCAUAUAUAAAAGUGGCUAUAGUCCUAAAAUAUGGAUGAUAGAAGGGUGUUGGAAGCAUUAAACUGAAAGAGGUCAAACCCUAUACCAAUAAUGUUGAUCAAUAUCAAAUUAUGACUGUUCAGUAAGAGCUGAGGUCCCACAAGUUGUGUAUUUGUCUUCCCUUACAAAUAGGCAAAAAGUUGUGAGCCUAAGCAAAGCCCUAAGGGGUAAAUAUUCCAGAUAUAAUGCUUUAGCUAUUGGAGUCAGUGAUGAUGUGCUGUGCCUGAUUAUAGAAAACCACACAGUGAAAGCUGUCUGUAAAUUUUGAAACAUUUAGCUUGAAAUAAUUAACUCAAGUGGGACACUGACUGAAAACUGCAGAGAGCUCACUGCAUAUAUGUUCACAGAAUCACAGAAUCACCAAGGUUGGAAAAGACCUUCAAGACCCAACCAUCCACCCACCACCAACAGUACUCACUAAACCAUGUCCCUCAACACAAAAUCCAGUUCUGUUCCUUGAACACCUCCAGGGUCAGUGACUCCACCACCUCCCUGUGCAGCCCAUUCCAGCGCCUGGCCACUCUUUCAGAGAAGCAGUAUUUCCUAACGUACAGCCUAAAUCUCCCCUGGCGCAGCUUGAAGCCAUUCCCUCUAGUUCUAUCACUGUUACACAAGAGAAGAGGUCGACCCCCAGCUCACUACUACCUCCCUUCAGGCAGUUAUAGAGAGCAAUAAGGUCUCCCCUGAGCCUCCUCCAGGCUGAACAACCCCAGCUCCUUCAGCAGCUCCUCAUAAGGCCUCUGUGUCUGUUAUGAAUAAGGUAAUUAAAUACUUACUAAUUUUACAGUAUGCCAACUGUAUGCAUCUUGCACUGGAAACAUGCCUCCUUCAAUUUUUCUUUUGUAGUGAAUUUCUGUCACAAAUCAUUUCAUUCGGCAUUUAAAGUAUUGCUCAGGAUUAUUUUCACCCUAAGACAAUUAGUUGAACUUGAAAAUAUUUUUCACCUUUAAUCUUUGUAUAACAUUGUACAGAACAUUCAUGUUUCUCAUUUUUGUACUACCAUUCAUUCAAAACAGCAGGUUUAUAUUUGUGAAGACUUUUGUUUAUCUAACUACCAGACAGCUGUACACUCCAGAAGAAAUGUAUGCUUUUGUAUGUUAUGCAACGGGAAGGCUGAUGUGCACCAAAACUGCUUUUCAACUCCUGUACUUUCUCUUCUCUCAAGUUCUUUUUACAGUGUUAUUUUCCAUACCAUCUACCUUUGUUCUCUUGGUCUUCCACCUUUUAAAUUUGAAGCACCCUCGCCCUGAUGUGACCAAUUCACAAACAGCAGUAACUAGAUUCACCUCUGUUGUCAGGUGUUCCUGAUUUAAAAAAAAAUACUUGUAAAUUAUUACAUCUAUGUUGCAUUAAAUAUGCUUGUCACAGGUUGUUUUUUUUCCCUUAACUUGUUUUAAUUGCAGCUUAAACUCAGUUCUGGUGAAAAUUUAACGCUAUAGGGAAGCAGGCUUGAUAUUUUUCAUCAGAUUGCAGUUAAAUUACAUUUUUAUCCAGAAGUAGUAUACUUCUGGAUAAAAUAAUAAUAUAAAUAUAAAAAAUAAAUAUAAAUAUAAAAAAUAAAUUUAUAAUAUAAAUAUAAAAAAUAAAAAUAAAAAAUAAAAUAAUAUGAGUUAUUUCCUUAAAAACAAGGAUUAUGCUGUUUGCAGACCUGAAGAACACAUGAAGAAUCACUUAAGGAGACAUCCAUACAGCACUUCAGCAAACUAAGUAAGCCACACUUGGUUUCUGACUUGCAGAUGCAGAUACUCAUUUGAAAAUGAACUUCUGGGCAUUGAUGCAGACAGACAGCACUACAGAACAGAUGCUGCACAUAGAAAACACAGAAAUAACCUGUUCAACUACAGUAUCGCUUUUAUUUACGUGGUUUUGAAUUUACAUAGAAGAGUCAAUAAUAUGUAGUUAUGCAAAGUUUUUAUGCAAAGUGGAAUGGACAGCAUAAUUCUAGAAAAGUCUUCCUAUGGAGACCACCUGACUUUUCAUUGGGUAUGAAGAAUUCACUUGUACCACUGAGCACAUCUGAAUGAUCGUUCUUUAAAUGCUCAGCAGCUGGACAGUUACAAAGACAGAUACAAAGCUGGACUGCUUUGUAUGUUAACAUCCACCUGGAGAUUUUAGAACUCCUAUACCACUGUUUCCCUGGAGAUGCUGAAAAAUAUUAUCUAAGCAGGAAAAGAGUAAUUUAUUAUAUCAUCCAAGAUUUUCAGAUCUCUGGCAGUCAAGCAGGAGAUGUCACACGGUAAGUCUCAUGAUGCUAAAAUAAAAACAGGGGCAUGCACUGAAGUUGCACCGUGAGUUCAGCAUAUCGUAAGAGCCUCGGACACACUAUGCAGUGUCUCCAUCUCUGCCUUUCACCUGAGAUCUCCAGGAGAACUACCUGCAUGCCUAAAGCACGAUGCGUCAUUCGUCGCAGGGAGCUGGGUGAGUGGAUGCCCUUCAUUUGGACACCAUAUCAUGCAGUGACUUGAAUGAGUUAAACUUCACUGAAAAGCCACCAAAAAAACAAAACUGAGAAGUAGUGAGGGUUAGUCACACUGUGCAGGUGAAGUGCAUGUUACAAUUAUGUGGCCUCCCUGCAAGCACUGAGCCUUGAAGAAGUUCAGCUUUGACCCAUAGUGUGGAGAUAAAGCUCAUUUUGUAUGGGAAGUUAUUUUUGGUCUAGGUUUACAGUGCCACUAUGUGUGUUAUGUAAAAUAGAUGCCUAGGUAAAAAGACUCAAAAUUUCUAGAAGUCCAAAUAUCAGUACUAGUCUGCUGCCAGUCAGUGACUUAAACUUGGAUAACCUCAGAAGGCUCAACAGAAAUACUGUCUCAGAAUUGAACACCAGCAAUUAUUAAGGACAGAAACAAGAUCUGCUCCAUAGCAUGCAAAAUAGUGUAAGUUAUCAGAAAUAUGCUAAUGCUUUUGACAAAUGAAGUUUCAGACUUCCAGCAGUUCAAAAUUAUUAGGAUAAAAAGUCAUCUUUUUACCCUUGCCUCCCAUUCCUGUGAAUGUGAUGGCACUGAAUAUUCAACAUGUUUGUAUCAGAAAAUUAGUGAUUAUGAAAAACAUUAUUGGUCAGCUGGCAUGUAAUUAAUCAAUUAUUUUGUUUUGUUCUACUUUAAAUUGUAAAUGCAAACUCUUGAAAGCAGGUUUUAGGCAAGUAGAUUUGGAUGGAAAAGAUUAUAAACUCAGUUUUUUCCCAAUACUUUUAUUACUGUAUUCUUUUUGAACACUACCUUGUAUUACGUGCACCAUUUUCCUACUGCAGCAAUGACGAGAAAAUAGCACGCAGCUGCUCAUAUAUAUGUUCAUGUGAAUUUUUAAAGUUUUUUUUCCUUUUUCAUUUCUCCCUGUUUCCCCUUCUGCAUAAAUGCCAGUGAAUAAGAUUGUUAGGAUUAGUACUUUUUUUUUUCACUUUGUAUUGUGCUUUAUAGUGGAUAUUGAAUAGAGGUAAGAUAUGCGACACACAUACAACAGCAAAACAAACUUGACGUUUGUAAGUCCAACUGCACAAAAAAUUCUGAAGAUUAUUUGUUAAUUAUUGUCUGCUGAUAGCAGGUGAAACAAAAUGAGGCAAGACCAAGAGUACAAAAGGAAGAUCUGCCUGUAAAGUUGAAUUCCCAGAGCAAACAGGCAGAUCUGUUUUUCAGGUGGAAAGUUGCUGUACAAUUUUUCUAACUUACAGAGAGAUGCUGUUUCAUAAUAUCUAAAAUACAUAAGUCGCAUUCCGCUCUUGGCUUUUGGGAUAGGAAAUAUACAAUUACAGCAUGCAGUUUAGCAAGCCUGCAUCAUAGGCUUUGCAGGAUUGAUAGUGGCCGGCCCAAAUUAGAGAAAUCCACACCAAGCUCUGCUUUACAUCACAGAAACCAAUACGGAGCUCCCUCCUCCAGAGCAGAAGUCUAAAGAGCUGACAGUCACCUUUACCCUGCUGUCUGUCACAGUGAGGCUGUGGACCAUAUUCCUUUGCAGAACCAUUACCAGUAGUGCCUUGCCUGGUGCUCACAGGACAUUUCAUUUCAAAUUAAGCAGCAUAGAUUUUAAUGUUCAACUUCAAAGGUGUUUGUAGAUAUAAACAUUAAUACAUUCAUUAAUGGAAAUCUUAGUAUAGUACAAACACAAUUAGGUUAAAGCCAGUUUAUGUUUAAUGACAUAGCAGUUAUCGAAGCUCAAUUACUCUAAUUAGAAUUUUAUUCAGUUAAGGCAAAGAAAGUGUUUGCUCAGCACUCUAUUGGAUGAGUCCCAAAGACAAACGGUGGUGUAAGUUGUGUUUAGUAACUGAGUUUCUUAUUUGUACUUCCUCAGAAAAGAAAUGAAAUGCUAUUUAUCUGCCUUUAAUGAAGUACCUCAAUAAUUUUUGCACAGUAGCAGCAAAACAACUCCAUUAUAGCAGUUUGUGAAAUUAACUGACUUGUGGCUAUCUCUUGAACUUGGUGAUGUGCUUCUUCCAUCCCUCUUCAGUCUUUGAGAUGUUUCUUACUACAAACUGACUUAUAGUUUAUUCCCAUACUUGAAACCACAGACUUGUAGUGCCAGAGUUUCUGUUGAAAACUUAGUAUUUUUGUAGCAAUUUAUUCAGUGUCAGACUUUUUUUUUAAUACUGAAUGCAAGAGGGUACCAUUUAUUGUAGUAAAAUUCAUGAUCAGCCUUGCCACGGUCCUUGGUGAGGUUAUGGAGCAAAUCUCUGUAAAAGCCAUUUCUGAGCACAUGAAAGACAAGAAAGUGAUUGUGAGCAGCCAGCAGGAAUUUAAAAUGGACACAUGAUGCCUGACCAGCCUCACUGCUCUCUUGGAUGUACUGUGCUGUAGAAAAGAGAGAGACAAUGGAUGUUGUAUACUUUGAUUUUUAGAACAGCCUUUGGCCCAGUCUGCCAUAGUCUCCUCAUCACCAAAUUAGUAAGCAGAUAAGGUGGGCGAAUGUCAUGAACAAUUGCCUGAACUGCCCAUGGUAUGAAGCACACUUGCUGCAAGUUUCUGACCCAUACUGGGCUGAAGAGAAUGUUCAUCGUGCUGGAGGGCAUGGCUGCUACUCGGGGCACCUUGGGCAGGCUGAGAAAAUGGGCUGAGCAGAACUUCAUGAAGUACUACAAGAGAAAGUGAGAGUUCACACAUACACAAAGGGCUCCCAUGCAUCAGUGCAAGCAGUAAGCAUGCUGAUAUGCAGAAAAGUGGUUAAAUAGUCCAGCAGGUUUCCCAGUGGGGUUACAGAAUUCACUGAGCUAAUCAAGACUUAGUUGGAUGUGGCCCUGCACAACCUCAUCUAUUUAGACAUAGUUAGAGCACAGGUUUGGAAUGGACAUCCUCUGAACUUCCCUUACAUCCUAGAUUUUGAUUCUCAUAUUAUUUAAUAUGUAGUGCACUGUGUGUGCAUGAAGACUUUGAAGAAUACAGCAUUUUUUAAAGUUGUAUUAACUUAGGUAAUUAUUAUGCACAAUUAUUAUGCAAGAUAGCUACUGCACUGUCAUUUUACCAUUUUUCUAUGAAUUAGAAAAUUCUUUUGAAAGGGAUUGUUUUGUUGACUUCAGCUCCAGACUAGAAUUUCUGUUUCUCACUGAAAUACGGAUCAGUGUGUUUCUGUGCCCUUUCUAGGCGACACAGCGACACACAAACAUUACAGUUUCACAAACAACACAAACAGAACAGUUGUGGGUUUUUUUUCCCUUGUGAAAGGAUAAGGAUUUAAAGUUAAUUACAGUUGGCAAACAGAAGUCCUGUGGAAUCUUCUGGCAGCCAGGGUUACAGAUUCAUGGAAAUGUGCUAACCACACACCUACUUUCUCAUUUCCAGCUGCAGUAGCACAGCCACUUAGAGCACUGGGACAGUAUGUGACACUGUGGCCACAGUACCCACAUAUUCAAGGAAGAAAUAAUAAAAGACUUUAAAUUACUAAACCACGAGAAAGGUGGAACCAAGGAAAUCAGUUAUAAAACUUUACGAAUUGAGUCAAGCUUUCUGACUUUUUCCUCUAAGUCAUUAGGUCAUCUGUCUGUCUUAUAUGGCACCUACUGUACAAAACUCUUAAACUCUUACAUGACACGUAAAGAUCUCGGUCUGUUCAGCUAGCUGAUGUGACUGGAUUGCACUGCUGUGUAUUUUAUCAGUAGUAUUUUCUGCAGCAAGGACAAUCCGUGGAAAAGAGAGAGUUGGAGAUGGAUUGUCUUUAGUAAGAAGAACAUCAAGAACACCUAAAAUGAUAAAGCCUUGUAUUCACAGUCCAUGCAUACACUUCUGGGAAGAAUUCUAGCUUUUCAAAAGGGAGUGCAGAAGCAUAGUGUAAGUGAUUAGCUAUCUGUAAUGCCUUUUUCCUAUUUUUCUUCUUUUAGUCUCAGCAAUCUCUAGUACUCUAGCAUGGUGACACUGUCCUGGCACACCCCAGAAAGCAUGCUUUCUUAGUCCUACAUCGGGACAAUUUUGUCAUGGAUUAGACUGUCUUUAAAAGCAUUUCAAUGUCAGGCUGGUCCUGACAGACAAAUUAUGAUGUAAUUUUCAAGUGCCAUACCCUUACUCUACUCUACAGUUUGAAAAUUCUCAUACAAAACGGCAUGUUGAGAUCAUGGGAGGUAACUUCCCUGGAAUCUAAUUAAAGUCAUCUUUGAAUCCUAAGUGGGAUUUACAUGUAUUUAUGUAUACACAUAUUAUAGAACAAUAUUUAGUGAUCUACUUUUCUGUAGAGCUAGUACAAAUAGUAACAUCAAGUAACCACGUAUAUAUAAAAAGCAUUGAGUAUUCAAGAACUUUUCAAGGCAAGGAGUUUUUGAUUCUGAAGGAUGAGUAUACUUGACUUCAUUUCAAGGUCAUUGAGCAUAUUCCUAUUUCCAAUCUUAUUGUCAGUGUUGGUGGCAAAAGAUCUGAAUUGCAGGUUUAUAACUCCGUUUAUAAUGCAGCAGGUUUAUAAUUCCGUUUUUGUCAUAGUGCUUCAUCUUGUAGCCUGACAAUGUGCAGAACAAAGAAGGAGGUCUUCAGCUCUCCAGGUUGAAUUAGUCUGGUUCCUGGCAUAAAUUAUGAAUGGCUUACUGGGCUUUUUCUAAUCCAUCAGAUGAUUCUAUUUAACGUUCUGCAGUAAAUCUUUCCAAUUAAUUAAAAUCUAUAUCCUUUUGAAAUUUGCUAUUAGAACAGCUGCACGGAAAGAAGGUACUCUCACGCUGGUGUGUUCCAUGGCGACAGUGGUGAUGCUAUGAAUGGUGUUAUAAUAGAAGUUCAGAAGUUACAUACGUCUAUAAAAGUGUCAUUAGAAAUGUUUGACAGAAAAAAAGAAAAAAAAGAAAAAAAAGGACAGAAAAAGGGAAACGGAGCAUUUUGUUUUUAUUCAGAUAGAAUUGUUAUGGAAAAGCUGGAUAUAUAUGCUUUGCGGAGUGUGGUCAUUGCAACUGCUCCGUUCAUUUGAGGGUUGCCUGGCUGCUGAAAGAAAAAAAGGGAGGAAAAAAAAGACAAAGAAACAGAUGCACACCUUUAAAGGACUGUGUUUGCAUCUUUCAAAAGGAAGCAAUGUAAAAGUUCUUUCUGUCCAGAGGCUCCAUGGCAAGUGGAACAUCUGUUUAUUUUCACUGUGAAAACUUCUGAUGGCAACGUGGCACCCUGGAGAAUAGAUCUCUCUCCCCCUGGCAGGGCUUGCAUUACCAUUGCUGGUACUCUGCCGGUCAUAAAUGAAAAAUGAUUGUGAAAGAAACACCACUUUGUUUCCCAUUCUUCCUUUUAUGCUUUUUGGAACGAUACCUCACUUCUGUUGACAAUUCGAUGGGUUAAUGGUUUUCAGUUAAAAAACACAAGGUUGGUUUGGCUCUCCCAUACCUCCCUCACAGAGCUCCUCAGAGACUCAGGAACACCUUACCACAGGAGACAAUUUAUGCACGUACAAAGAAUUAUUUGUAUCCAAAGAUUUCUAAGACAACAUCAGAAAAUUGAGAAAAUUCCAGCACAAGCCUCACAUUUCUCUUGUUUGUUCCUCACGUUAUUGAGGAAAUAAACUACUUUAUUCAAGGCAUGGAAUUGAAACAGUUAUUUAAAAUUCCUGCAAGGGCAAGCAGGCAUACUAUUUUGUUUGGCUAUGACUGAAAUAGUCAUCAUAUUACUAAAACAGUGAAGGAUUAAAUUUUUAUUACUUUUUUUAAGUUAACAAAACAGAAGAGAUGAACACAAAAUGAACUAGUCAUAUUAAAACCUUUGAUUAGCUCUUCCAGGGUGAAUUUCCUGAUCUACUAUGUCUGUAUACAUAUGUGAAGCACACAGGAUUAGUGUACAAUUAUUUUAUCACUAUGCAUGUUUGUCAGUACACUGAAAUAUGCGAAUGGAUUUCCUUUGUGUACUUCUGAGCAAUUGGGAAAUCAACAAGAAAGAAAAUCAGAGGUCAGCUUGUGUAGUUCUAAUAGUUUUGUUUGUCUUUAUGUAUUUUUGCGUAAAGGGAUGCUCAAAGGAGCUUCAGUGGAUUGUUGUAAUUGUAGCGUGUUGCAGAGGAGAGCAUGGUGUAUGGCAAAUACCAGUCAGGUCUCGGUUCUGAGACAGCUGGAACUAAAUAGGAAAAAGCAACAAAAGUGCAGGAUUUGCUAGAAGACAGUUUGCGCCACACACUAAAUUUUCAUGGCAGAACAGUGUGAGCUAGGUGAUUACGAAGCCUUGUGAGGGCAGGGUGAGCCAGCAGCAGUAGGGCCUGGCAGGUAGAGGCAGUACUGACACCAAUACAGGAGUGAUCCCGGAGCUACUGUUCCCCCCUGAGCCAUCACAGUAUGACACUCUCUUCUUACAUAAGAAAACAAUUUGCACAGCUAAUGAUUCUGUCAUGCCGUUAAUAGAAGAGCAAUAACAAACCUGUGGGUGUGCUACAGAUGGAAGGCAUACUGCCCCCUCAUCAUCCUCUAUGCCACAAAAAGCUUAGUUCUACUUAACUUUGCAGAAAGAGCUGAAGAAGCAUCAGUGGUUCAGAAUAUGGGAAGGAUGACUUUCUUAACAUAAUAUAAACACGGCCUUACACCAAAAGUUUUGCAUUCUAGCUUAAUUGCUCUCUUAAUCUGACCUACUACUGCAUAGUUUGUUUUUAUAGGCAUCACUGGCACCUACUGACUGGGGCACUUGCACCCAUAUGAAACAGCAGAAGUUCCCAUAUGAACUGUUGGCCAUGCGACACAUUUACUUAAGGAGGAGCUCUGGGCAGAUAUGUAGAAGUUUUGGGAGGAGACAUUCCUCCUGUGGCUUGUGUUAACUAUUGCCAUACAUGCCAUUGAAUAGGACUACUUGCUUUCAUCGUACUUCCCCCCAGUAUCUUUGCCAUUUCUCAGAGUGGCAAUUGUCCUGAGCUUUCCAGAAUCUAUAGGUCACGGGUAAAACAGCAUGUUCUCUGCAAAUGUUAAUGAGUUUACAAACUGCUGAGUAUUAUAAUGAUGAUCAUCUUUCUCUACUGACUACACACGGUUUUGGCACUGCAAUCUUUUUAGCUUUUAUCUAUUCUCAAAGGGCCCAAUCUCUAGUUGACUGAAGUCAAGGAAAACAGAUGUAUCAAGAAUAGCAGCUUUCAAUCAAGCUAGAGACAGUCAGUGCCCACUACUAAAACCAUUCCUACAGUAUGUAUUUACAGCAAUAAGAGCAGGGAUUAUGCACACGUCCCUCAAUCCAACUAUGUUAAAAAUGCUUUCCAUCCUGAAAGUGUGGAGGGUAAAAAAAUAAAUCCUGAAUUAGAUCAGUAAUAUCAGAUGCACAAAGGGAUCACAUGUAGACACUAGAAGGAGGAUUGGAAGACAGAAAAAAGAUAGACUAGAACAGAUCCAGAGAGAGAAAAUACUAGAGUCAGAUACUGUCUCAUGAAAAAGAACACAAAUACCACUUGCAGUUGUCUUACAUGAAAAGAGCCUUUCUAAUUAAGAAUUAUUUUAAAUUGUAUUGUUUUACUGAAGUAUUAAAAAUAGCAAUUGAAAAAGAUUGCUACUACCUUUGUUGACUCGUAAAUCUGUAGCACUUCCCACAGCAUUUAGAGCUUGUUAUUACAGGCUGACCAUAACUAAAGGAAAAUCUGGGGAGUCUUUUGUUUACAUCCUGGUUUACAGCCUAUUUUCUUUAGUCAGAAUGUGCUGUGCAGCAGCCUGAAGGAAUGCCAGCCAUCAUGGCUCCUCAUGUGUUCCAGGACUACCUGGGGUUGCUAUUACGAGAACAACUAUGACAACUUUCUGCUCUUGUUGUUCAAGGACUGCAAUCUCCGGUGCUCACUUCAGUUCCCAAAAAAUAUUGUGCAGCCUUUCCUAUUAUGGGAACUUCUGGUCACUUACACCAAACUCCUGGCCCUCCUCUCACCCCAAGCCUUGCACUUCAGCAGGAAUGGGCCUGACAUUGUUGUCCAUAGUCUGUAUAAGGUGUGCUGCCAUGAGCUGAACCUUCCCUGGUCUAAGCAACUAUGUACCACCAGAAGAACCAUGGAGUACUGGCCCACAAAGGAAGAUGAACCUCAACUGUGAAUCGAUCAUCAAUUUCUUACAUUUUGUCAGUCUACACUGUAAUGGGCAAAUUGUACAAAGCAUUGCAGCAUACAGGAUCACUGCAAUGGAAAGGGCUUACCUUCAACCUGCUCGAUCAUUGGUUCAUAGCAUGAAGGGGUGGAUUUAGUGGAAAUGCUAAGUCAUGGCCUGAGCCAGUAAUAGAGCACCAGGUGGGAAGGCAGGGCCAGCCCAGGGGAGCUCAGGUGCAUGCAAUGCAAUGCACUGAGUGAUGAAAGGGUGGAACCAGGAUCCACCCAUCCCUUCCAGCCCUCAUUUAAGGGUUGGCAGUGAAGGCAAGGGGAUCUCAUUGGAAACUUCUACGUGCUUGAGGCCUACUAAAGGUAUGCAUCUUUUUCUUCCCUCAUUUCUGCAUCCAUAAUUGCUGUAUUUGGACUUGUUCUUUUUUUGCUGUAGCCAAGGCUUGUGAUACUUUCUAUUACUGCUGUACUAUCUACCAUAUUUAAGCAUUACAGCUAUAAUAAAUGGCUCCUAUCUUGGCCAAUAUGGAGCUAAAAUACAUGAUCAGAGCAAGAUUUACUGUUUGUUGUUGGUGGUUUUUUUCUUGGCAUUGGCAAUUGUAAAUAGUUCUUCAGGAGCUAUUUGUAAUUGUGGUUGUGUACAGAGGUUUUAUCAACGUGGCUUUUGAAAUGCAUUAUUUAUGCAAGCAAAAAAAAUCACUGGACAUCUCAAGUUACUGGUAAUAAAACCUGUGCCAUACCAAACUACCACAUGUUCACUAAUUGUCUGUGCUAUGCCAUGUACAUGUGAUGUUUGCUAUAGAUAAGCUAGCAGUAUGUGAGAAUCAUCUUGAUUUCUUUUAAAAAAUUACCUAGAACUGUAUCUUCUAUUUCUUGCCUAUGACUUAUAAAUUAGGGUAACUACUGAAAACUGUAAAGCAUUAAUUUGCUCUCAAGAAACAUGCUAUUAACCUGUAUCAGUUUGUGAAUGCUGUUAAAAGAUCAAAGUUCUAGAAUUAUCAGAAUAGUUCAGGAAAAACAUGGGUGUUGAUUAGUCACGGAGAUAUUCAAGGAAUUAACUGAUGGAAUUUAUGUGUGUAUAUUUGUCUAUAGAAUCAAAAAGUAAAUUGGCUUUACAAGUGUAGUCCUGUCUCUUGUAACUCAGCCUUUACUCUCGCUGCUGAAUUUCAGAUGUGUAGCUAGCAGAGGGGAGAAUCAGGAUUUCCUACUGUAGACUUUUGUCUGCUAAGAAAUAGAUGGAACUGCUAGCUUAUUACAUGAGGCCCACUGAACACGGAGCAAACAACACUCUCUCUCUUUCACACUCACACUGUGAGUUUCCUCAUAUUGUUACUUGAGCUAUUAGCUUCAGAGAAUAGCUUUAGUUGCAUUCACAUGAAAGCAGAAUCUUCAAUAUACACUGUUUCCAUGAGUAUUUUCCCUUUUCCUAUUAGUACUUAGGGAGUAACAGAACUCUCUAGAUUAUCAGCAUAUUUUACAGUUCUGGUUUGUAUUAGUGUAUGAUACCAAAGCAAGUAAAGAUAAAUGAAAUAAGCAUUCAUCAUCCAAAAAAAAAAAAAAAAAAAGUCCCAGAAAUACAACACUCCGUACAGGAGGGUCAGUCAGUAGAAACUGCUGGAUAAAGUUAUAGGACUUCUGCUAUAGAUCAUAGAUCUAUCUGUAAAACUCAUUUACUCAUAACUGUGAAGCCAGUUCAUAAAGAUGCAGCUCUCCUAUGUGCUGCAUUUUAUAGUUUAGAGGUGAUGAAAGAUGGAAGCUGACCACCGUGAGCAUGCUGCUGGUGGAUCACAGUCUUGCCCAUCUACUUUUCCCUUCUCCCACAGUAAGGGAACUUUGGUACGCCGCUGAGUCUAAAUAUGUUACACCCUAAAUAUGUUGUAGCAGUGAGCGAGCUGAGGACGCAGCGGCUCCCAUUGUACCUGACAGUUACUCUUCAGCCUAUCCCAGAAUUCACUCCCCAAAGUAAUAAUUCUACCCAACAUUCAAUUUAGCGUUCUAGUGUUUAAGAGACUUGUAUUUUCAUUCCUUAGGACCAAAUGUGUUCAUAAAUUAAACAUUUGCUAAUGAAUACUCAUCUUUGUUUUUAGCAAGCUUGUCUGCUUAAGAGAAUAGUUUACUGACACCACUAAGAACACUGGCAGGCUCGUUUCUUUCUAGAAUAUUUAAUGCUCAAAGGAUUAGAAAUCUAGUGAUGGAUAAGUUAGGCUGCAGACGUACAAACUAGCCACUGUUGAACUGGUACUAUGCCUGUAUUUAAACAGGGGACCCAGAAGUGAAAAGCUUUAUUUUCCAUUUAAUAGACGCCUUUUGGUUGUUUCUCUUACUAAUGAUUUCUGUAGAUCCUAUAUCCAUACCAGUAAAAGGAGUUCUUUGUUGCACUUGGUUUUUAUGUGACUUUUGAGCUAUCGCUGCCGGGUGUACUCAUUUAUUCAGUAUGAUUUAAUACAGUAGCCUGUCAUUGUAGCCUUUUCUGUAAAUAUUUCAGUACUCUCGUUUAAGUAUGAUGCAUCCUAGAAAGCCAUAUCUCCCAUUCUCUUCCAGAAAGGAGAUCCAAAUUGGUACUGAUCCUUAACUUUUUCAAAGUGUUAUUUUGUGGUGCGUGUUUUGUUUUGUUUUUCUUUUGUGGUUUGUUUGUUUGUUUGUUUGUUUUUUUAGUAACUGGGAAUUGGAGGGGAAGUGGGAAGCGCUCCUCAGUCAGCAGUUCCCAGCCCAACAGACUGCAAAAGUGUUUGUGACCUCCAGAAACCCUUAAGGUUUUGAUCAGCAUUUCCUUAUCCCUAGUGCUCUGUUCUUGCUGUUUUAAAUUACAUUUCAGUGUACCUAGAGUAGGUAAUAAUGUUAGCACAAGUGAUAUAAUAGAUUGUUAAAAGCAUCCUUGGGUUAUUAGAUGGGAAUAUGUUGAUUAUAUAAACAAUGGUAGUGUUUAUUGUAUUAUAUUUCUGAAAUUGUUAUAGUAUUACACUGAUACAAAUUAUACUAUCCCAUCUCAAACAUAUUUAUCUAAAACACAGUGGAUUCAAUUCAAAGACUGUCAAGGACAGUGAAAGACAAUACCUGAUUUUCAGUGCUUCUGAAUCAGUAUGCUACUGUGGAUUACAUGUUAUCUGCAUUAAUUCCUAAGAUAAGAAGUACAAAUUUCGUGACCUUUCUGUUCCUGUAGCUCCAAUCACUUCCAUAAUUAUAAAAUACUGUAAGUAACAGGCAAAAGAUGCUGCUGCUGCUGAAAUACGUUUGCCUGUUUCAGAAUAUGUAAUGAGAAGUUAGUUCAGGGAAUUUUAUGAUACUAACAUGAUAGUGCAUAAUAUUAGAAAAUGUAUCUCUCAGAAGGCACUUCUUGUUACUAGAUUUAUAUGAAGAUAUAUAAACAAAUGGACAAAAUCAUUCUGAAGUGAUGCUCAGAAGGGAUAGGAAAAUGAAGGUUGCUUAAGCAGCUGAGGAAAAAAUGAACUGAAUUACUCUCAAGUUAUGCUUCUGACUCCAUGUCAUUGGAGCACUGAGAAUAUUGUGUAUAAGAACAUUAUGUUGAAUACUGUGGCAUCUUAUGUGCACUUUGUACAUUAAGGGCCUAAACUCAGGAAAUUUGAAUAGGGACUGAAGAGAAACAUCAAAUUUGAUUAUAGACUAUAUACAGACAUUCAUUGUUAAAGAAUGUACGAAAACACAAUUAUCUGUUUUUUUAAAAAUGUGGUAUUCUUACCAGAUAGCACAACUUCAAGAUUUUAAAACUGCUUAACAAUUUUUUUAGCUAUUGUGGGUGCUGAAAUGGAGAAAAAUGCAUGCUGUCUUUUCCCAUAUUGUCUUUAUGGAUCCUUAUCUUUUUAACAGCAAGUUACUUUUUCCCAUGCUUUUUUUUUUUUCUUUCUUUUUUUUUUU